GCCCGUUCCAUGGGAAGAUCAUCCCCAGAGAUGACAAGGGGCAGCCUCUCAACCCUGAAGACAGAGCCCGUGAACAGAGGCAGCAGCUUCAGCAGCAACGGGCACAUCCAGAUUGGCAGGACCCUGAGUUUAUGAAGGACGUGGAGGCAGCCACAGGGGUGGACCUCGGUUCCUCCAAGUAUAGCAAGAAGGGCAAAGGGAAAAAGAAGAAGCACCCCAACCUCACUGACCUUCGAGAACGUGCCAACACUGCCCGAGCCCGCCUUGAGAAGAAGGUCUUUGCCAAAGGAGCUGUGCAGAGAGUAGUUGCUGCCAUGAACCAGAUGGACCAGAAGAAGCACGAGAAGUUUGCAAAUCAAUUUAAUUAUGCACUGAAGUAAAAGGGUGUGGGUGUGGCGAAUGCGCAUGGUCCCCUCUGGCCAUCAGCUCCUUCCUUCCCUUUCAGAGCUCACUGGGAUAGGAAGAAGGGCAGGCUUAAGUCUGAGUAGAAUUAGAGCUUUUUUAUCUGUGUGUAACAAGGGAAGGAUGCACUAAGUACUCUCCAGGAGGCCAGGGGAGGCCAGGGUUUGAGCCCAACUGUUUUAACCACACGUGUGGUACCACACCUGUAAUUGCAACACUUGGAAGACAUAAACAGGACCGAGGCCAGUAUGAAGUACAGAGCAAGACUGCUUGACAAACGAGAACAAAAAGCCAGAUGAGGAGAUGCACACCUGUAAUCCUCACUCAGGAGGCAGCGCAGGGAGAGCAGCACGAGCUGAAAGCUAACCUAGUUGCCAGGCAUGGCGGUGCGCUUCUUAAUGCCAGCACUCAGAAGGCAAGGCAGGUGGGUCUCUGUGAGUUUGAGACCAGCCUGGUCUACAGAGUGAGUUUCAAGACAGAGAAACCCUGUCUUGAAAACAAACAAACAAACAAACAAACAGCUAACCUAGUCCAAGUUGUAAGUUCUUGCUGAGGGUGGGAGGAAUCCCUUCGGGAUGGUGUACCCGCAUUGGAGUCAGAUUGGGGCAGCCACUCAUCUGGUCGCAGGUCAGUGCUUGAGCAGUGCAUGUGUCCCUGGUGGUGCUAUGUACUUUGUAAUGCCUUCAGGAAUCUGCUCUUUCGUGAUAUGCUGUUUAAUACAAAUGUCCACCUCCUGAUAAAA
rnacentral:lncRNA from 1 species